AAUAGAUACCCAGGUAGUCCAUGCCGUAAACGUUGGGCACUAGGUGUGGGGGACAUUCCACGUUCUCCGCGCCGUAGCUAACGCAUUAAGUGCCCCGCCUGGGGAGUACGGUCGCAAGGCUAAAACUCAAAGGAAUUGACGGGGGCCCGCACAAGCGGCGGAGCAUGCGGAUUAAUUCGAUGCAACGCGAAGAACCUUACCAAGGCUUGACAUACACUGGACCGUUCUGGAAACAGUUCUUCUCUUUGGAGCUGGUGUACAGGUGGUGCAUGGUUGUCGUCAGCUCGUGUCGUGAGAUGUUGGGUUAAGUCCCGCAACGAGCGCAACCCUCGUUCUAUGUUGCCAGCACGUGAUGGUGGGAACUCAUAGGAGACUGCCGGGGUCAACUCGGAGGAAGGUGGGGAUGACGUCAAAUCAUCAUGCCCUUUAUGUCUUGGGCUUCACGCAUGCUACAAUGGCUGGUACAGAGAGAGGCGAACCCGUGAGGGUAAGCGAAUCCCUUAAAGCCAGUCUCAGUUCGGAUCGUAGU
rnacentral:rRNA from 1 species